rnacentral:rRNA from 1 species
UGAAUUGCAGAAUCCCGUGAACCAUCGAGUCUUUGAACGCAAGUUGCGCCUGAGGCCAUUAGGCUAAGGGCACGUCUGCCUGGGCGUCACGCAUCGMGCACCCCUCCCCCAAUUCUGGUGUGGAUGGGGUG